rnacentral:rRNA from 1 species
GAUGAACGCUGGCGGCGUGCCUAAUACAUGCAAGUCGAGCGAACGGACGAGAAGCUUGCUUCUCUGAUGUUAGCGGCGGACGGGUGAGUAACACGUGGAUAACCUACCUAUAAGACUGGGAUAACUUCGGGAAACCGGAGCUAAUACCGGAUAAUAUUUUGAACCGCAUGGUUCAAAAGUGAAAGACGGUCUUGCUGUCACUUAUAGAUGGAUCCGCGCUGCAUUAGCUAGUUGGUAAGGUAACGGCUUACCAAGGCAACGAUGCAUAGCCGACCUGAGAGGGUGAUCGGCCACACUGGAACUGAGACACGGUCCAGACUCCUACGGGAGGCAGCAGUAGGGAAUCUUCCGCAAUGGGCGAAAGCUUGACGGAGCAACGCCGCGUGAGUGAUGAAGGUCUUCGGAUCGUAAAACUCUGUUAUUAGGGAAGAACAUAUGUGUAAGUAACUGUGCACAUCUUGACGGUACCUAAUCAGAAAGUCACGGCUAACUACGUG